rnacentral:rRNA from 1 species
GAUGAACGCUAGCGGCAGGCUUAACACAUGCAAGUCGAGGGGCAGCACGGGUAGCAAUACCUGGUGGCGACCGGCGCAAGGGUGCGUAACGCGUGAGCAACAUGCCCUAUACAGGGGGAUAAUCCAGGGAAACUUGGUCUAAUAUCCCAUAGUAUUUAGAGGAGGCAUCUUCUAUAAAUUAAAGCUUCGGUGGUAUAGGAUUGGCUCGCGUGACAUUAGCUAGAUGGUGAGGUAACGGCUCACCAUGGCAAUGAUGUCUAGGGGUUCUGAGAGGAAGGCCCCCCACACUGGGACUGAGACACGGCCCAGACUCCUACGGGAGGCAGCAGUGAGGAAUAUUGGACAAUGGAUGGAAAUCUGAUCCAGCCAUGCCGCGUGCAGGAAGACAGCCCUAUGGGUUGUAAACUGCUUUUAUAUGGAGCAAUAAGGUCUACGUGUAGACUGAUGAGAGUACCAUAUGAAUAAGC